AUGUACAUGCAUACAACAUAAUGUUAAUGCAUCAGAUCCCAUUAGAACUCCACAGUUAAGUACACUCAGCAUAGAGUAGUACUGGGAUGGGCGAUCGCCCGAGAAGUCCUAGUGUUUUAAAUU
rfam:Picea glauca, whole genome shotgun sequence.